rnacentral:rRNA from 1 species
GAUGAACGCUGGCGGCGCGCUUAACACAUGCAAGUCGAACGGGAAUUAUUUUAUUGAAACUUCGGUCGAUUUAAUUUAAUUCUAGUGGCGGACGGGUGAGUAACGCGUGGGUAACCUGCCUUAUACAGGGGGAUAACAGUCAGAAAUGGCUGCUAAUACCGCAUAAGCGCACAGAGCUGCAUGGCUCAGUGUGAAAAACUCCGGUGGUAUAAGAUGGACCCGCGUUGGAUUAGCUGGUUGGUGGGGUAACGGCCCACCAAGGCGACGAUCCAUAGCCGGCCUGAGAGGGUGAACGGCCACAUUGGGACUGAGACACGGCCCAGACUCCUACGGGAGGCAGCAGUGGGGAAUAUUGCACAAUGGGGGAAACCCUGAUGCAGCGACGCCGCGUGAAGGAAGAAGUAUCUCGGUAUGUAAACUUCUAUCAGCAGGGAAGAUAGUGACGGUACCUGACUAAGAAGCCCCGGCUAACUACGUG